ensembl:lncRNA
GUUGGGGAUGGGGAAUCAGGGUACAGGCCUUUAGUGAAGUCGGUAGGAUUGCCACGCCCGAACGAGCUUUCUUCGCUGGAUCGGAUGUCGCCCACGUGGAGGAGAUCUACUCAGAAAAAGACUCCGACUUCUGGGAACAGAAAGAGAGGCUGAACUGGCCACCAGCUACGUGGAAGAAGGAAGUGGAGCAAAGUGCAGAAAACAACCUUUCAUUCUUCCUCUCCACCCUGCUCCAGCCAGCCAGCCAGGAGGAUAGCCUCUGGGCCCAGACAGAUGGAGCCUUGAUCCCUAUCUCCAGAAGGUAUUCUGGUCUCUGAUACAAAGCUAUGUUUUCAACCAAGGAUUUUUACCCUGGAAGGGGAGAACCAUGGAAACUUUCAUAUGGGCAUUUGUAUUUGCACACUCAGGUUUUUGUUUUUGUUUUUUAAGCUUCUUUUUAAGCAAUGAUUAAAUCCUGGAAAGAAGCAUUUAGGGUCCCAGGCCAGCGCGACGAUCCUCUUGGAUCUGUAUUUUCUGCUUCUGAGCUCUAAUCCUCAUUUUAGCUACCCGGCUUCUAAGAUUGCCUAUUUUGCCUGCCUCUUCUACAAAUUAUUUCUCUCCGUUCUGGUAAAGAAAAGAAUUCAAGCCAAGACUCUAGACAAUGGCAUCUUUAAAUGGUGGAUUUGAGCCUCUACCUUCUAAAAAGAUGUAUUAUUGUCGUGUACGUGUGGUAUACGGGUAGCAUAGUCCAGGUGAGAAGGUUACAGAUUCCCACACAUGUAGGUCAAGUUAUUGCCAGGGACCAAGAGCAGGCUAGAGUCUCUGAAGGACUAGGUAAAAAUCACAAUGACACCAUUGUCAGGCAGAGGUCAGAGAACCUGCUAGCACUUGUUGUUGGCCAUAUAUCAGCAGAUAUUUUGGUUCUGCAUCUGGGCCAUGGUCAAGGUCAUGGGAAGUUCUGAACAUGCGGUCAAGGUGGACAUAAUUGUUCAGGGGUUUAGGGGCUGAAAAUCACUUGAGCUGACACAAAAUAGAGUCAGGGUAAAAGACAGGACUAGAUGGAGCUACCUCAGUCAUUGCAUAGGCACAUGUAGAGUUCAGAGGACAAAGGGUUGGCUCUCUCCUUCCAGCUUUAUGCGGGUACAGAGGACCAAACUCAUGUCUCUAUGCUUGGGUUCAAAACACUUAUCCACUGAGCCAUUUCAUCUGCUUCUAUAGGAGUUUUUAACCAGAGCCUUUGAGAUCUUUUCAAUGGAGUUGAUUGGCUCAACCAUUGAGAAUAAUGUUCUCAAACUUUGGUUUCUAACAGAGCCACCCAGGAAACUUGGAAGACAUGAGGAGAUCUCUGCCUUAUUCUUCUUCACUGAGUCUGGACCUGUGUGUUGCUAAUUACCUCUCCAGAUAUUCUGGACUUCAAAAUGUUUGAGAACUUUUUCUUCUAAUGACUAUGGGAUGGGUUCACAGUCGAGUCUCCUAUAUUCAGCACCCAAAGUCCCUCCCCUUACUCAGCAGCAAACGCCUUACAUUAUGAGAAUCACAGGGACCCCACAGUUAAUCGAUCUGUAAUAAAACAACCAGUGUCCCGCCUCGACAUUGUGAGCCAGGGCCAGGAGGAACUGAGCCAAGCCAGUCUGGCAGAGACUACCACGUGUCUUGCCUUUCCUUCUUCUAGAAAUAUCCGGGCUUUUUUUUUUUUUUUUCAUAAUGCUUAAAUUGCUACAGUGACAAGCAGAGGCCUAAGUUGUGGUAACAUAGACAGGAAGGAAAUUGGCUAAUACUAAAAUGGGAAAAGGCACUUCAAGAGUUCACAAAAACCAUUGGCUUAACAUUGACAGACAUCAGAGGUCAAUAAAAGUUUUAAAGAUUCUGUACGUCUGCCUUAUUUCUGUCCUUCAAGUGGCUCCAUGUAUUUAGAGAGACCAUAUAUACCCCAGAUUAAUAAUUUAAAAUUUAAAAUGAACACAAAUCAAAAAGAACACGAGAGUGUAGUAGACAGGCUGAAUGAGUGGAUACAAUAAAAUCACAACUGCGAGAUGAAUGAAUAAGGAUAAUGGCAUAUAUACAGUAAUAAAACCUCUCACUCUCUAGGCUAACUUAAAAUUUUUUUUUUUGGUUCUUUUUUUUCG